GUCGUAUCUGAAAAAUAAAUGACAGUUCUGCUUCUGGUCUCAGGAAUGUGGAUCAAGUCUAGACUACACUGAGUGUAGACUGUCAAGAUCACAGCUGGAGACAGCUCUUGGCGAGAAAAGGAAUGAAGUUUGAUGCUGAACUUGUAACAUUUCAUCAAGCCUGAACACAUGGAGAAAAGAUCUACCGGAGUCUUCCUCUUGUCCACACCAGAUGAGGUCAUUGAACAUGAAGCCAACCAGCGUAUCCUCCAGCGUCCAGAAGUGACGAACAACAGCUGCAUAGCUGUGCAUCAGCGCUCUGGUUUUACUCCA